GAUUCGCGUGAGGGAGUGUAGUGGAAAUCCUUUUUUGAGGAACGAAAAAAAGAUUGCAACGAAAAGCCCGACCUGAC
rnacentral:sRNA from 1 species